rnacentral:rRNA from 1 species
GUUAUAUGGUCAAGUGAAGAAGCGCAUACGGUGGAUGCCUUGGCAGUCAGAGGCGAUGAAAGACGUGGUAGCCUGCGAAAAGCUUCGGGGAGUCGGCAAACAGACUGUGAUCCGGAGAUGUCUGAAUGGGGGAACCCAGCCAUCAUAAGAUGGUUAUCUUGUACUGAAUACAUAGGUGCAAGAGGCGAACCAGGGGAACUGAAACAUCUAAGUACCCUGAGGAAAAGAAAUCAACCGAGAUUCCCUUAGUAGUGGCGAGCGAACGGGGACCAGCCCUUAAGUUGUAUUGAGAUUAGCGGAACACUCUGGAAAGGGUGGCCAUAGUGGGUGAUAGCCCUGUACGCGAAAAUCCCUUUGCAAUGAAAUCGAGUAGGACGGGGCACGAGAAACCUUGUCUGAAUAUGGGGGGACCAUCCUCCAAGGCUAAAUACUACUGACUGACCGAUAGUGAACCAGUACCGUGAGGGAAAGGCGAAAAGAACCGCGGAGAGCGGAGUGAAAUAGAUCCUGAAACCGUAUGCGUACAAGCAGUGGGAGCCCACUUUGUUGGGUGACUGCGUACCUUUUGUAUAAUGGGUCAGCGACUUAUUUUCAGUGGCGAGCUUAACCGAAUAGGGGAGGCGUAGCGAAAGCGAGUCUUAAUAGGGCGUCUAGUCGCUGGGAAUAGACCCGAAACCGGGCGAUCUAUCCAUGGGCAGGUUGAAGGUUGGGUAACACUAACUGGAGGACCGAACCGACUACCGUUGAAAAGUUAGCGGAUGACCUGUGGAUCGGAGUGAAAGGCUAAUCAAGCUCGGAGAUAGCUGGUUCUCCUCGAAAGCUAUUUAGGUAGCGCCUCAUGUAUCACUGUAGGGGGUAGAGCACUGUUUCGGCUAGGGGGUCAUCCCGACUUACCAAACCGAUGCAAACUCCGAAUACCUACAAGUGCCGAGCAUGGGAGACACACGGCGGGUGCUAACGUCCGUCGUGAAAAGGGAAACAACCCAGACCGUCAGCUAAGGUCCCAAAGUCAUGGUUAAGUGGGAAACGAUGUGGGAAGGCUUAGACAGCUAGGAGGUUGGCUUAGAAGCAGCCACCCUUUAAAGAAAGCGUAAUAGCUCACUAGUCGAGUCGGCCUGCGCGGAAGAUGUAACGGGGCUCAAACCAUGCACCGAAGCUACGGGUAUCAUCUUAUGAUGAUGCGGUAGAGGAGCGUUCUGUAAGCCUGUGAAGGUGAGUUGAGAAGCUUGCUGGAGGUAUCAGAAGUGCGAAUGCUGACAUGAGUAACGACAAUGGGUGUGAAAAACACCCACGCCGAAAGACCAAGGUUUCCUGCGCAACGUUAAUCGACGCAGGGUUAGUCGGUCCCUAAGGCGAGGCUGAAAAGCGUAGUCGAUGGAAAACAGGUUAAUAUUCCUGUACUUCUGGUUAUUGCGAUGGAGGGACGGAGAAGGCUAGGCCAGCCUGGCGUUGGUUGUCCAGGUUUAAGGUGGUAGGCUGAGAUCUUAGGUAAAUCCGGGAUCUUAAGGCCGAGAGCUGAUGACGAGUGUUCUUUUAGAACACGAAGUGGUUGAUGCCAUGCUUCCAAGAAAAGCUUCUAAGCUUCAGGUAACCAGGAACCGUACCCCAAACCGACACAGGUGGUUGGGUAGAGAAUACCAAGGCGCUUGAGAGAACUCGGGUGAAGGAACUAGGCAAAAUGGCACCGUAACUUCGGGAGAAGGUGCGCCGGUGGAGGUGAAGCAUUUACUGCGUAAGCCCCUGCCGGUCGAAGAUACCAGGCCGCUGCGACUGUUUAUUAAAAACACAGCACUCUGCAAACACGAAAGUGGACGUAUAGGGUGUGACGCCUGCCCGGUGCCGGAAGGUUAAUUGAUGGGGUUAGCGCAAGCGAAGCUCUUGAUCGAAGCCCCGGUAAACGGCGGCCGUAACUAUAACGGUCCUAAGGUAGCGAAAUUCCUUGUCGGGUAAGUUCCGACCUGCACGAAUGGCGUAACGAUGGCGGCGCUGUCUCCACCCGAGACUCAGUGAAAUUGAAAUCGCUGUGAAGAUGCAGUGUAUCCGCGGCUAGACGGAAAGACCCCGUGAACCUUUACUAUAGCUUUGCACUGGACUUUGAAUUUGCUUGUGUAGGAUAGGUGGGAGGCUUUGAAGCGUGGACGCCAGUCUGCGUGGAGCCAACCUUGAAAUACCACCCUGGCAACUUUGAGGUUCUAACUCAGGUCCGUUAUCCGGAUCGAGGACAGUGUAUGGUGGGUAGUUUGACUGGGGCGGUCUCCUCCUAAAGAGUAACGGAGGAGUACGAAGGUGCGCUCAGACCGGUCGGAAAUCGGUCGUAGAGUAUAAAGGCAAAAGCGCGCUUGACUGCGAGACAGACACGUCGAGCAGGUACGAAAGUAGGUCUUAGUGAUCCGGUGGUUCUGUAUGGAAGGGCCAUCGCUCAACGGAUAAAAGGUACUCCGGGGAUAACAGGCUGAUACCGCCCAAGAGUUCAUAUCGACGGCGGUGUUUGGCACCUCGAUGUCGGCUCAUCACAUCCUGGGGCUGAAGCCGGUCCCAAGGGUAUGGCUGUUCGCCAUUUAAAGUGGUACGCGAGCUGGGUUUAGAACGUCGUGAGACAGUUCGGUCCCUAUCUGCCGUGGACGUUUGAGAUUUGAGAGGGGCUGCUCCUAGUACGAGAGGACCGGAGUGGACGAACCUCUGGUGUUCCGGUUGUCACGCCAGUGGCAUUGCCGGGUAGCUAUGUUCGGAAAAGAUAACCGCUGAAAGCAUCUAAGCGGGAAACUUGCCUCAAGAUGAGAUCUCACUGGAACCUUGAGUUCCCUGAAGGGCCGUCGAAGACUACGACGUUGAUAGGUUGGGUGUGUAAGCGCUGUGAGGCGUUGAGCUAACCAAUACUAAUUGCCCGUGAGGCUUGACCAUAUAACACCCAAGCAAUU